GUUAGCUGCAGAAGAAGCACCGGCUAACUCCGUGCCAGCAGCCGCGGUAAUACGGAGGGUGCGAGCGUUAAUCGGAAUUACUGGGCGUAAAGCGCAUGCAGGUGGUUUGUUAAGUCAGAUGUGAAAGACCCGGGGCGUCAACCUCGGAAUUGCAUUUGAAACUAGGCAGACUAGAGUACUGUAGAGGGGGUAGGAAGUUUCAGGUGUAGCGGUGAAAUGCGUAGAGAUCUGAAGGAAUACCGGUGGCGAAGGCGGCCCCCUCGGACAGAUACUGACACUCAGAUGCGAAAGCGUGGGGAGCAAACAGGAUUAGAUACCCUGGUAG
rnacentral:rRNA from 1 species